UUAACAUCGCACCUACCACAUUAAAACGAAUAGUUAUGAUAGU
rnacentral:sRNA from 1 species